UAACUUAGGGAGAAGGGGUGCCUACGAGAGUAGGCCGCAGUGAAUAGGCUCAAGCAACUGUUUAUCAAAAACACAGGUCUCUGCUAAAGCGUAAGCUGAUGUAUAGGGGCUGACGCCUGCCCGGUGCUGGAAGGUUAAGGGGAAUAGUUAGCGCAAGCGAAGCUAUGAACUUAAGCCCCAGUAAACGGCGGCCGUAACUAUAACGGUCCUAAGGUAGCGAAAUUCCUUGUCGGGUAAGUUCCGACCCGCACGAAUGGCGUAAUGAUUUGAGCACUGGCUCGGCAAUAAAUCCGGUGAAAUUGUAGUGCAAGUGAAGAUGCUUGCUACCCGCGGUUGGACGGAAAGACCCCGUAGAGCUUUACUGUAGCUUAGCAUUGAAUUUCGGUAUUGUCUGUACAGGAUAGGUGGGAGACUUAGAAGCGAGGGCGUCAGCUUUCGUGGAGUCGUCCUUGGGAUACCACCCUGACAGUACUGGAAUUCUAACUGGAGGCCAUGAAUCUGG
rnacentral:rRNA from 1 species